rnacentral:tRNA from 1 species
CGAGGCGUGGCGCAAUCUGGCAGCGCGCCUGGUUUGGAACCAGGAGGGUGCAGGUUCGAAUCCUGCCGCCUCGA